rnacentral:lncRNA from 1 species
AAAAAAAAAAUAAGAAUGGAAAUGGGGAAUUCGGUAUGAGUGCAAAUGACACAACUCUCCAUUCAAGCAAAAAUUCAUAAAAGUAAACCAUUAUAGGUCAAAAUACGGCCUUCAACACGUUUUUUGUUUUUUUUUUUUAUUUCUAGCAUAACAAAGGUCCGUUUUAAUUCUAGCAUAACAAUUUGUACGGUUCAUCUCUAUGAAAGGUCUUCACUUUUGAAGGUUAGAUCUAUAGGUAAAAAGCGCAAAUGUACGGUUAGUUUAUUACAGGUGAAUCAAACUUUAAAGCGCAAAUGUCCAUAGUAUUUGAAGCGCAAAUGUCCUAUCGUUUUACAGGUAAAUAAGCGCAAACGUCCUGUGC